UACGGAGGGUGCAAGCGUUAUCCGGAUUCACUGGGUUUAAAGGGUGCGUAGGCGGGCAGGUAAGUCCGUGGUGAAAAUCUCUGAGCUUAACUCAGAAACUGCCAUGGAUACUAUUGUCUUGAAUGUUGUGGAGGUAAGCGGAAUAUGUCAUGUAGCGGUGAAAUGCUUAGAUAUGACAUAGAACACCCAUUGCGAAGGCAGCUUACUACACAACGAUUGACGCUGAGGCACGAAAGCGUGGGGAUCAAACAGG
rnacentral:rRNA from 1 species